rnacentral:lncRNA from 1 species
CCUGAUGCUCUGAAUAAAGUUGGCUAUUACAUGAGUCUUCGGGGUCUGUGCAUCCAAGUGCCACCGCCAUCAGAGUGAUCCAGCAUUUGACUUGGUCCACCCCAACAUCUACCCCAUCUAUGAGCGGACAGAGCUCAUGAAGAAGCCGGACCUGCAGAAGCAGAGCUGAGGGAUCACCAGACUCUGGCAACCGUGGGAUAUCUGAGCUGAGUCUCAGCAGCGGUCCAGUAUUGAUGGGCUAUGAUGGUAUCUGCAUUUUGAUGGACGUCGUCUGUACUGCCACUGGAAAUCAUGCUGGGGUCCAGAUCAUGGUGUGUGCCGAUGCUCAAAACCAUGUAAACACCAGUAGUCUAUGCUGUCUCCAAAAACCAUGUAACACAGUGUUCCUAUCAGGGAAGAUGGUCAGAGACAUGAUGAGAACCCUUCAGCCCAGGAACCUGGUGGAGAAGAUGAUGAACUCUUCACUGCAAAAUGAUACGCCCAUCUAUGACUCAAAGAAGAGGAAGGCCCUUUACCCUAUAAAUUAAAAGUUCACUGCUUUUUAAAACUCAGGAUUGAUAUCAAUGGCGCUGUGAACAGACUCAGGACUGAGCAGAGAUGCUUCGAUUUCUUUUGCUGCUCAGCAGCACAUCGUGCGAUGUUGUUCUUCCAGAAGUGUUCUUUGACAAAUAGUACCCCGGUGAUGCUAGGAGGGGCCUGGUAGCCAGGGCAGGGGAAGCAGUAGCCUGCCCUUCUAACUGGAUGAUGGAUCUACAAAGUCUGAGUGAGGGGGGCCUGUGGUGGUAACUGUGACCAUCUUUCUCUUUUAUGAUUUCUGUUUCUUUUCAUUAUGUUUGACAUUUCUGAGAUAGAGCUUUAUAACUAACUAUUAGCCCAAGGCAAGGACUGGGAAAAUGAGAAGUUGCUGGAAAAGUGACCCUCGUACUGAAACACAAAGUGUGAACAACUGUACUUAUGGCCUGCCAUGAAAGGGACUCCAGCCUGGAUUUAUGUACAGAUAUCACAGUGGAUUUGAUAGAAUAAAAUGAAACCAGCACCCUGUGUCAUUUCUAUUUUUUUUUUAUCUUUCUGUGUUAUAACUUCUGAAAUGGAAG